UGCACAUGUGAGUUUUAUUACUGAUCAAGUAUUCAUUGCAGAUGUUUGAUGACGCUAUAUGUGAAUUGUGGAAAGAGGAUCAAGGUGCUCAUGGUGGCUAUUUUCAUUAGUCAUGAAAGAUUUUGUUGUGCGAGCAAAUCAUACGAGUUAUGUGUUGUACAAGUCAACAUCUUAGUUUUGUAGAUACUUGAGUGUAGCUUGGUUAUUGACUUAGUAUUUCGUGUGAAAUAUUGUACAAGUACAAAUGUUGAUAGUUUCAAUAAAAAUGAUGGGAAAUAUUUGUCAAUUA
rnacentral:lncRNA from 1 species